CUGGAUGCAGCCGCCUCCUCGCUCCAUGUCAGAUUAUCGUGACAAGGACGUCCACUUUUGCUGCUUCUACUACAACUCUUCUUAUUUGGAUGAUUUUCUGGAUGAUGGCCAUUUGCUGGGUGGUGUGCUCAGAUUGUUGAGGGAUGUGAAGCUUCCUUGAACAUGGCUUUAAAACUGACCUUGAACAUGCCACAGAAGAAAUCCUCUGAACGUUGAACUCUGCAUACCCAACAAGCUGAAAAUGGUAACGGUUAUUGAAGACAAGCCAGGCCAGAGCCACGGCCACCUCCCAUCAUUUGCACGCUGACCCUGCCCGGGCACUCCUGCACCUGUCACAGGAAAUAACGUGCCUGCCAGACGCCCUGCUGGACGUCCUGGAGCUGAGAGGCCACCCUCGAGCCCGGCCGCAUUAUUCAGGAGUAAUGCAGGCUGAGAGUAGACACCGCUGUGAACCCUCACACAGCUCUGAGCCACAGAGUCCGACAUAAACCCCAAACAUCACCUCAGCACAGCUGGGAACACCAUUAGAGCCGGCGCUGGUUCAUAAGAAAAGCUUCUGUAUGCACCGAGUGCCAGUUUUGCACUUAAAAGAAACACAAGGGGGAAAUUAAGUGCGUGUCAAAGCUGAGAGACUUCCAUUAAAAACAGCAGCAUUUAUGAUGGAGGUGCAGACCUUGAAGAUAUGCGGAGAGAAUAUUUGCCAAUAACAUUUUUUUUUUUCCAUUCAAAUAUCAUGUUUUCUUUGUUUUCCCGAUUUAAUGUGAAGAUGUAAACCAUCACAAAUAUUUGUGGAAAUGGAGUGGAAGCGCACUUUUCUUUUUUUUCCCCCUCUCUUAAAGGGAUGCCAGCACGCACUGACGCUCACAAUCUCAUG